UCGGGAAUCUUCCGCAAUGGGCGCAAGCCUGACGGAGCGACGCCGCGUGAGCGAUGAAGGCCUUCGGGUUGUAAAGCUCUGUGGGGAGGGAAGAAUAAGGGCAAGCGAAUACCUUGUCUGAUGACGGUACCUCCUUAGCAAGCACCGGCUAACUCUGUGCCAGCAGCCGCGGUAAGACAGAGGGUGCAAACGUUGUUCGGAUUUACUGGGCGUAAAGCGCGUGUAGGCGGCUUUGCAAGUCGGAUGUGAAAGCCCACGGCUCAACCGUGGAAGUGCAUCCGAAACUGCAUGGCUCGAGUCUCGGAGAGGAAGGUGGAAUGCUUGGUGUAGAGGUGAAAUUCGUAGAUAUCAAGCAGAACACCUGCGGCGAAGGCGGCCUUCUGGACGAUGACUGACGCUGAGACGCGAAAGCGUGGGGAGCAAACAG
rnacentral:rRNA from 1 species